CCGUAAGGUAAUCUAAUAGAUGAAUAUGGAUCGGGAUAUCUGGAUCACGGGUCAAGCAAAGGAUACUUGGUUUGGACAUUCACAACAACAACUUUCUCCGGCUAUGAGAUAGCAAUGGAAUGCAUUGAUUUGGGAUUUUGUUUUGGAACGA